rnacentral:rRNA from 1 species
AGCAGCCGCGGUAAUUCCAGCUCCAAUAGCGUAUAUUAAAGUUGCUGCAGUUAAAAAGCUCGUAGUUGAAUUUCGGGAUCAAUAUGUUGGUCGUGCCUCGGUACGUACUAGCUUAUUGGUUUCUCCCUUCUGACGAACCAUGAUGUCAUUUAUUUGGUGUUAUGGGGAAUCAGGACUGUUACUUUGAAAAAAUUAGAGUGUUUAAAGCAGGCUUACGCUUGAAUACAUUAGCAUGGAAUAAUGAAAUAGGACGUUUGAUUCUAUUUUGUUGGUUUCUAGGAUCGACGUAAUGAUUAAUAGGGAUAGUUGGGGGCAUUAGUAUUCAAUUGUCAGAGGUGAAAUUCUUGGAUUUAUUGAAGACUAACUACUGCGAAAGCAUUUGCCAAGGAUGUUUUCAUUAAUCAAGAACGAAAGUUAGGGGAUCGAAGACGAUCAGAUACCGUCGUAGUCUUAACCAUAAACUAUGCCGACUAGGGAUCGGAUGAUGUUAAUUUUUUAAUGACUCAUUCGGCGCCUUACG